UCGAGGUUCUUCGGCCAGGCCGAAGCUAAGAUGGGAACGCGGUACAUGCCGCGGCUGCCCCCGCAACUGUAAGCACCGACAACGGAUCGACACUGCCACUGCGCCAGCGCGCGGGAAGGCGUCAUCCCGCCAGCCCGCUGUUCAACCGUACGGGGGCCUGGAACGGUGCGAGCCAGGAGACCUGCCUCGUCACG
rnacentral:ncRNA from 1 species